rnacentral:lncRNA from 1 species
AGAUUUCUGUCUCAUUGACAUUGCUAUUUUUGUAGUUGGGUUUCUGUUUCAUUGACAUAUGCCUCACAUCUCCUUUUAUUUAUGCUGCACUUAAUUUUCCGUGUGCUCAAAAUGGCUGAUAAAAAAAGUUUUAUCAUUUAAUUCUGAUAGCAGUACCAGAUUUUCUUUGGAUCAAAUCUAGCGAGUCGAUUUGUAUUGUUUUCGGAUUAACGUCCCGUGGCAUAU